rnacentral:ncRNA from 1 species
CGCAAGGGGUGCCUGAAUAGGCUGAGAUGCGGAAUUAGACCGCUAUACCCUUCGAACCUGAUCUGGUUAGUACCAGUGUAGGGAUUGCGU